UUUGGUAUUUAAAAGGCGGAUAUUCCUUCUAUGUUUAUGUUAUGUACCAUUAAACGUAGAGGAAAUUCCACCUUUUCAGUAUCAAA
ensembl:miRNA